AGUGAACGCUGGCGGUAGGCCUAACACAUGCAAGUCGAACGGCAGCACAGGAGAGCUUGCUCUCUGGGUGGCGAGUGGCGGACGGGUGAGGAAUACAUCGGAAUCUACCUUUUCGUGGGGGAUAACGUAGGGAAACUUACGCUAAUACCGCAUACGACCUACGGGUGAAAGUUGGGGACCGCAAGGCCUCACGCGAUUAGAUGAGCCGAUGUCCGAUUAGCUAGUUGGCGGCGUAAUGGCCCACCAAGGCGACGAUCGCUAGCUGGUCUGAAGGGAUGACGAGCCACACUGGAACUGAGUGACGGUCCAGAGUCCUUCGGGAGGCAGCAGUGAGGAAUAUUGGACAAUAGGCGCAAGCCUGAUCCAGCCAUACCGCGUGGGUGAAGAAGGCCUUCGGAUUGUAAAGCCCUUUUGUUGGGAAAGAAAUCCUGUCGAUUAAUACUCGGUGGGGAUGACGGUACCCAAAGAAUAAGCACCGGCUAACGUCGUGCCAGCCGCCGCGGUAAGAC
rnacentral:rRNA from 1 species